GAAAGAAAAAUAAUAGAUAUCAAAGUUUGUGAUUCAACAGGCUUCUGGACCUUUCCCACUUUCGGUUGCCCUUGAUAUCCCGUGAGAAAUCUCACCCCCGACCUGCGGUACUGCUGAUCUCCCAAGAAGGCUUUUAAAUCACCCACUGUAAAGUAUUAGUGUUGAUAUUAAUUUUUCAAAUAAAAUCCUUACCUAGUACAAAUGCCACAGCAAACUAGCCACAGGAGAUUUUAUACAUGGAGAGGUGUAAGAACUCACCUGAUAAAUGCCAAGGAGAUAACGUAGUCAGCAUUGACGCUGAUCGUCCAGUCACAGUCCCUGCUAUGCGGAUACGGAUGAGGGAAGUUUGGCGAAAGGAUAAAGCCUGAAGAUCCUGUUAAAUUGCCUCCACAAGUAUCAAAAGAUCUGUAUCUUGAAUCUUUAGAGAGUGUGACUUGGAGAUUUGAGAACAAGCACGAGGACAAAAGUCAGGCAAGUGAAAGCAUGGGACGAGGUCUGGACACUCCUCAGAUCUUCAAAACAAUGCUUGAUGCUCUUUUGAUAUUCCCAACUUGAAUGGAAAACCAGCCCUUUGAAUCUCUCAAAAAAGCUGCUGAUACAAGUUUCUUAGAAGAAGUAAGCAUGUUGGGAGUAAAUCAACCCAGCUCAUUCUAAAUGUAGAUUCUCGGUGCCUCUACAUUUUAAAGCAAAAGAUAACAGCUUUAUCCAAUGAAUAAAGGCUGAGAAAAUA